GCGAGCAGGUGCGAAAGCAGGUCAUAGUGAUCCGGUGGUUCUGAAUGGAAGGGCCAUCGCUCAACGGAUAAAAGGUACUCCGGGGAUAACAGGCUGAUACCGCCCAAGAGUUCAUAUCGACGGCGGUGUUUGGCACCUCGAUGUCGGCUCAUCACAUCCUGGGGCUGAAGUAGGUCCCAAGGGUAUGGCUGUUCGCCAUUUAAAGUGGUACGCGAGCUGGGUUUAGAACGUCGUGAGACAGUUCGGUCCCUAUCUGCCGUGGGCGCUGGAGAACUGAGGGGGGCUGCUCCUAGUACGAGAGGACCGGAGUGGACGCAUCACUGGUGUUCGGGUUGUCAUGCCAAUGGCACUGCCCGGUAGCUAAAUGCGGAAGAGAUAAGUGCUGAAAGCAUCUAAGCACGAAACUUGCCCCGAGAUGAGUUCUCCCUGACCCUUUAAGGGUCCUGAAGGAACGUUGAAGACGACGACGUUGAUAGGCCGGGUGUGUAAGCGCAGCGAUGCGUUGAGCUAACCGGUACUAAUGAACCGUGAGGCUUAACCUUACAACGCCGAAGGUGUUU
rnacentral:rRNA from 1 species